rnacentral:tRNA from 1 species
GGUGGGGUUCCCGAGCGGCCAAAGGGAGCAGACUGUAAAUCUGGCGUCAUCGACUUCGAAGGUUCGAAUCCUUCCCCCACCACCA